rnacentral:rRNA from 1 species
AUUGAACGCUGGCGGCAGGCCUAACACAUGCAAGUCGAACGGAAGAACCGUGCUUGCUCGUGGUUACGGGGGGGGAGGGGCGUGCGAUGCAUGUGAAUAUCCGUCUCUGCACUUUCGAAGGUCAUAACGUAGGGGCUCAUACUCCAAUAGCGCAUAUGGCGUACGAGGGAGAGCAUGGGAUCUUCCGACCUCACGUGAUUGUAUGACCGGAGGUCGGGUUAGCUGGUUGGAGGGGUAAUGACCCACCAAUGCGACGAUGCGUAGCUGGUCUGAGAGGAUGAUCAGCCACACUGGAACUGAGACACGGUCCAGACGCCUACGGGAGGCAGCAGUGGGGAAUAUUGGACAAUGGGCGCAAGCAUGAGACAGCCAUGCCGCGUGGGUGAAGAAGGCCUUCGGGUUGUAAAGCCCUUUUGUUGGGUAGGAAAAGCAGUAGGUUAAUACCAUGCUGUUGUGACGGUACCCAGAGAAUAAGCACCGGCUAACUUCGUG